rnacentral:rRNA from 1 species
UACGGGGGGGGCAAGCGUUGUUCGGAAUUACUGGGCGUAAAGGGCGCGUAGGCGGCGCGGUAAGUCACUUGUGAAAUCUCUGAGCUUAACUCAGAACGGCCAAGUGAUACUGCAGUGCUAGAGUGUGGAAGGGGCAAUCGGAAUUCUUGGUGUAGCGGUGAAAUGCGUAGAUAUCAAGAGGAACACCUGAGGUGAAGACGGGUUGCUGGGCCAACACUGACGCUGAUGCGCGAAAGCCAGGGGAGCAAACGGG